UAGGGAAUCUUCCGCAAUGGACGCAAGUCUGACGGAGCAACGCCGCGUGAGUGAAGAAGGAUUUCGGUUCGUAAAACUCUGUUGUUAGAGAAGAACAGCGCAUAGAGUAACUGUUAUGCGUGUGACGGUAUCUAACCAGAAAGCCACGGCUAACUACGUGCCAGCAGCCGCGGUAAUACGUAGGUGGCAAGCGUUGUCCGGAUUUAUUGGGCGUAAAGCGAGCGCAGGCGGUCAAUUAAGUCUGAUGUGAAAGCCCCCGGCUCAACCGGGGAGGGUCAUUGGCAACUGGUUGACUUGAGUGCAGAAGAGGAGAGUGGAAUUCCAUGUGUAGCGGUGAAAUGCGUAGAUAUAUGGAGGAACACCAGGGGGGAAGGCGACUCUCUGGUCUGUAAAUGACGCUGAGGCUCGAAAGCGUGGGUAGCAAACAGG
rnacentral:rRNA from 1 species